UACUCCACAUUUAGAAAUCGGGAAUUCCUUAUUUCUAAAUGUGGAGUACCACAUUUAGAAAUCGGGGAAUUCCUUAUUUCUAAAUACUCCACAUUGGACUUUGGGCGACAAAAAAAAAUCAUGUUUCUCAUUAUGCAUUGUUGGUUUUAUCAGAUAAAUAUAUGCGGGAGCGUGGGUUCUCAGCACAAAGAAGACAACUUCGUCACAGCUUACAGCUUGCUGAAUUGAUCGCAAAACUGAGAGGGAAAACUGGCGUAUUAAACUCUAAAAGUUUAAUACGUCAGUUCAGUCGCAAUUGCUAACGAUUCUCAAGAUGGAGUCUGGAGGGCGGUAUACUGUGCGUCUGGUCCUGUACCACUUGUGUCUGGCCUAUGAUCAUCUCCUCAUCUCAACCCUUUUCAGCUUGGCUUUAGCAUCUCAUGCAGCAUCCACAAGGAUCACACGAGCCACUCCUCCCAUCAUUUCUGACAUGAACAAUCAGGAGGUUAGCGUUGGUAGCACCGUCACAUUUGAUUGUCGAGUCAGAAGCUUAGCAGUACCAGCAAUCCACUGGUGGAAAACGGACCAGUCAGGCAGUAGACAUGAACUGAGAGCCAUUCCAGAUAAGAUAGACAUACUCAUUUCAAGACUCAACCCAUCAUUUCUACCAUGGGAAAGCAGAAGGUUAGAGUUGGUAGCACAGCCACGUUUAAUUGUCAAGUCCAGAGUACGACUUCAACAGCUUUUGAGUGGUGGAAAACAGAAACAACAUCAAGCAAUAAUAGUAGACUUGUACCCAUUCGAAAGAAGAUUGACAUACAAGUUAACAACCCUCUGCAAGAAGAUGUUUAUUCUCAGACGUUGAGCAUCUACAGCGUAACUAAGGAAGAUGCUGGAAACUACAUGUGCCGCGCCGAGAACGACUUUGGAAGCAGCACAAAGAUAGCGGAGUUGGAAGUCACUUCAGCUCCUCCCAAGAAUAAGCCCCCUCCCAAGAAAAAGCCCCCUCCUCGAAGAGGGGGGAGCAUGAAAUUCAGCGCACCGGGACCCGUUGCACUGAUUCUGAUGUUACUCUGUGGAUAUGCCUUGGGGAAUCAAUUUGUUCUUUGACUAAAGGUCCAGGAUUUUCAAAUUCUUUUUAAAAUUUUUUUGUCAAUUUUGUCAAUGUAUUACUUCAAUAUGGAACUGUAAUUUUUGAAUGUUCAAUUGAACUGUAAUAUUGUAUUUGUUGUUAUGUGCAUUUGAGAUUUGUUAUGUGAUUUGCGCAGUGUGAUUACAUGUAUAAUAAUAGUCAAAUUUCCUGUUAAUGUACCUUUAAACAUCGAAAAAUAAAAUGACCAAGUUUUUACGAAAUACCUUACAGGAA
rnacentral:misc_RNA from 1 species